UACGAAGGGUGCAAGCGUUACUCGGAAUUACUGGGCGUAAAGCGUGCGUAGGUGGUUUGUUAAGUCUGUUGGUGAAAGCCCCGGGCUCAACCUGGGAAUGGCAAUGGGAUACUGGCAGGCUAGAGUGCGGUAGAGGGUAGUGGAAUUCCCGGUGUAGCGGUGAAAUGCGUAGAGAUCGGGAGGAACACCAGUGGCGAAGGCGGCUACCUGGACCAGCACUGACA
rnacentral:rRNA from 1 species